rnacentral:sRNA from 1 species
UCUGGGUGCUUUGGCACACAUCUAUAAUCCCAGCAACUCAGGAAGAGGAGGCAGGAGGAUCACUUGAGCCCAGGAGUUCAAGGCCAUCCUGGGUAUUAUAGUGAGAUCUUGUAA